UAGCGGUGAUGAUUUCUGCGUUACUAGUGAUGGUUGGGUCCAUCACCACUCUCUGAUAUUUCGGAAGAGAAAUACGCGCAUCUGAGCUA